AAAAACUUAGUUAACAUAUAACCCCAGCUUGUCAAGCUGAAGUAACUUUCUAUAGUAGUUUUUA
rnacentral:tRNA from 1 species